GAACUCUUUGGAGCAGUCGCAUGCUGCGUGUUGUGUUGACAUCCAUAAGGAUUUAUGCUGAAUUGUUGCUGUUCCGCCUGAUGAGAUCGGUUCGAGUAUAAUCUGCAUGAUCCUCGUGUCACGUGUGAAAUACAAGUGUCUGUCUACUACCGUAUUUUUUUUAUUUUAUUUCCUUUAUCGUAUUAUUGCUGAUUUUUGUUUUGUUAUAUUUUCUGAGCCCCGUGUGUUCAGUGAAUUGAGUGAGAAAAGUUCUGUUAAACAAUCCCUGAGAUUGUGUGCAUUCAUACAGCCUCAUUAACACUCAAGAUGUGUUUUGGUGCUUAUUUAAGUGUAUUUUCUCGAGUGUGCAUCUUUAUUGAGUGUGCUGUGAUUCUAACCAGUGUUUGAUCUUUGCUAAAUCUUUAAGAUCUGAUUUUAUUACACUGCAUUUUGGUGAAACAUUAUUUUGAAAGAAUUUCUUAUUUUCAAUUUAUUUUUGUUUACUGAUGUUCCCACCGACCGCUGUAAACUGAAAGUAUAAAAAACAGCAGUCAGAUAAACCCCUUUUAUAGCCAUGUGCGUUUCUUUACCACCCGGUUACAUUUUUGGUAUCAGGAGUGGGGUAAUCUGACGGUCGGGAACAGUAUAGUGUCGAUCACAUCUUUGUUUUGUUUUGUUUUUAAAAAAUAUGGUAGUGGCUGGUGCUUGAGUUGCAGGACUCGCAGUGGGAUUGGUCAGCUGAGUGGUCUUCGUCCAACUGCUGGAGACGUCCGCCGAGGGUUUAAGGCCAAGGGACGGGUAACUGGAUGGAGAGGAGACAUCGCUAGCUGCUACUAAACUGCGAGUGUGUUUGCGGAUCGGGAUCCAGUGACGUGUGUUUUGCAGAAGUGGACGAGAGUGCUAUAUGCACAUUACAGACAGUAUAUCCUUUGAACUGGGAAACAAAAAAGCUUCUCACAAAGACUUUGUGUUGUUGAAAAGACUUUUAAACAUGUCCCAGCCAGAGGAAGAGGCUGAAAUAGAACAUGGUGCUGCUGGUGGGGAGGGCGUGGGUAAUGUGCAAGAACAGAUACAAGAGCUCAGUAGAAAGCAUGCUGAAGCUAUGGCAGCUAUUGCCAACCUGAGUAGAGAACCAACUAUAUCCUAUGUAUAUGUGUCCAGAGAGCGCCACAUUCAGCCUUUUAGUGGUGAUCUAUGUAAAGAUGGUAGAAAUGUGGAUGAGUUAAUUGAAGAGGUGGAAAGAGUGCUGCUUGUGAGAAAUCAAACAUCUGGGGCCAGUUGUUCAAAGGUAAGCUGAUCGGAUUUUGGUUAUCGGAUUGGAUCAAAUCUUGAAAAUGGGUUGUUCAAAAGGGAAAGAAGGAAUCUGAAAUCAGAUUAGAUCACAGAAUCCAAUCCUAGUUUAAAUCUGGAUCAAACCUUCAGUUUGUGUUGUUCAAAACUUGUCAGUAGGAUUUGGAUAACUUUGAUCCAAAAAAACUGGAUUAUCCUGAUCCCAACAGGGGGUAGGAUUUAAAGGUGGAUUCCAGGAGGGAAAUGUAGAAAAACUUUAAAAUUGGUCAAAUAACACAUUUGUUUCAUUUAGUGUAUAUACUUUUAUUUAUAUUUUGAACUUGACUUGUGUAACCGUUGUAACAGCGAUAAAGUAGAUAUAGUAGACAUAGGCUACCAAUUAAGCUAUUCAGUAAAGUAAAAAUAAUGAAAUAUGAAAUAAUCCCCCAAACAGAUUUCAAUCACAAACAAAAAUAAUAUAAUCAAUUUUUAUGUCAUUCAUCACCGUAUAUUAAUUUCAAAGAAACAAUCAUCAGAGAUGAUGAGCCUGUCAAAAACAAUGUCUAACAAUGGCAUCCCUUACUAUACACUUGAAGCGUCCUUUGUGCGUCCACAAUGUAUUUGUUAUUGGAUAUAUUUUUUUUUGUGACUCAGGUGAGGGUUCAUAAAAGAAAUUAUAAAUGGAUGUUUAUGUUAUUUUUGUGUUUUGUCUCAAAAUUAAAAACUCUU